UAGCUCGGCCUGUAGCGUGAAGCUGCAAAAUGCAAAUAAAUGCAUAAGCAAGUGCGUGUCCGUGUGUGUAUAUGUUUGAAUAAUCAGUUACCAAUUUUCAAACUUGGCACAAAUGAACUACGUCAACAACUUGGAAAAAAAAUCCCAGUUUCAUAUUCAUUUAGAGGUGAAAGGCACAUUCUAGCAAGGUAAGCUCAAACUCAAAAUCCAAAGUUCCAAACAACACUGCCCACUAGCAAAUAUGAAUAAUUUUGAGGAUAUACUCGAUAGCAAUAGAUACAAUAAGACAUAUUCUCAUUUGAUUGCUCAAAAUUCAUAAAAACAAUAGCACGAGACUCUUAUAAACAAAAACAUGCGUGGAUCUACAUAUAUAAAUAAAUGAGAGAAUGGGAUAUGAGUAGUCACAGGAGCAGAGGAAAUCAAACCCAA
rnacentral:misc_RNA from 1 species